CGAAUGCUGACAUAAGUAACGAUAAAGCGGGUGAAAAGCCCGCUCGCCGGAAGACCAAGGGUUCCUGUCCAACGUUAAUCGGGGCAGGGUGAGUCGACCCCUAAGGCGAGGCCGAAAGGCGUAGUCGAUGGGAAACAGGUUAAUAUUCCUGUACUUGGUGUUACUGCGAAGGGGGGACGGAGAAGGCUAUGUUGGCCGGGCGACGGUUGUCCCGGUUUAAGCGUGUAGGCUGGUUUUCCAGGCAAAUCCGGAAAAUCAAGGCUGAGGCGUGAUGACGAGGCACUACGGUGCUGAAGCAACAAAUGCCCUGCUUCCAGGAAAAGCCUCUAAGCAUCAGGUAACAUCAAAUCGUACCCCAAACCGACACAGGUGGUCAGGUAGAGAAUACCAAGGCGCUUGAGAGAACUCGGGUGAAGGAACUAGGCAAAAUGGUGCCGUAACUUCGGGAGAAGGCACGCUGAUAUGUAGGUGAAGUCCCUCGCGGAUGGAGCUGAAAUCAGUCGAAGAUACCAGCUGGCUGCAACUGUUUAUUAAAAACACAGCACUGUGCAAACACGAAAGUGGACGUAUACGGUGUGACGCCUGCCCGGUGCCGGAAGGUUAAUUGAUGGGG
rnacentral:rRNA from 1 species